rnacentral:rRNA from 1 species
CCUACGGGAGGCAGCAGUGGGGAAUAUUGGACAAUGGGGGCAACCCUGAUCCAGCCAUGCCGCGUGUGUGAAGAAGGCCCUCGGGUUGUAAAGCACUUUCAGUGAGGAAGAACGCCUGGUGGUUAAUACCCAUCAGGAAAGACAUCACUCACAGAAGAAGCACCGGCUAACUCCGUGCCAGCAGCCGCGGUAAUACGGAGGGUGCGAGCGUUAAUCGGAGUUACUGGGCGUAAAGCGCGCGUAGGUGGCUUGAUAAGCCGGUUGUGAAAGCCCCGGGCUCAACCUGGGAACGGCAUCCGGAACUGUCAAGCUAGAGUGCAGGAGAGGAAGGUAGAAUUCCCGGUGUAGCGGUGAAAUGCGUAGAGAUCGGGAGGAAUACCAGUGGCGAAGGCGGCCUUCUGGACUGACACUGACACUGAGGUGCGAAAGCGUGGGUAGCAAACAGGAUUAGAUACCCUAGUAGUC